rnacentral:rRNA from 1 species
CGGCCGCGUCGACGUAGGGGAGAAAUUCCAAUCGAACCCGGAGAUAGCUGGUUCUCCUCGAAAUAGCUUUAGGGCUAGCCUCGAUAGAGUCUUGCGGAGGUAGAGCACUGAAUUUCCUAGGGGGCGUCAAAGCUUACCGAAGAAUAUCAAACUCCGAAUGCCGUAAAGAUGCUUAUCGGGAGUCAGACUACACGAGAUAAGUUGGGUGGUCAAAAGGGAAAGAGCCCAGACCUCCGGCUAAGGUCCCAAAGUGCGUGUUAAGUGGAAAAGGAUGUGGGAUUUCAAAGACAACCAGGAUGUUGGCUCAGAAGCAGCCAUCCAUUCAAAGAGUGCGUAAUAGCUCACUGGUCGAGAGGUCCUGCGCCGAAAAUGUCC